CUUGAACUCACUAUGUAGUCCAGGCUGGCCUUGAAGUCACAGUGAUCCUCCUGCCUCAGCCUCCUGAGUGCUGGGAU
rnacentral:miRNA from 1 species